AUUGAACGCUGGCGGCAGGCCUAACACAUGCAAGUCGAACGGCAGCACAGAAGAGCUUGCUCUUUGGGUGGCGAGUGGCGGACGGGUGAGUAAUGUCUGGGAAACUGCCCGAUGGAGGGGGAUAACUACUGGAAACGGUAGCUAAUACCGCAUAACGUCGCAAGACCAAAGUGGGGGACCUUCGGGCCUCACACCAUCGGAUGUGCCCAGAUGGGAUUAGCUAGUAGGUGGGGUAAUGGCUCACCUAGGCGACGAUCCCUAGCUGGUCUGAGAGGAGGACCAGCCACACUGGAACUGAGACACGGUCCAGACUCCUAGGGGAGGCGGCAGUGGGGAAUAGUGCACAAUGGGCGCAAGCCUGAUGCAGCCAUGCCGCGUGUAUGAAGAGGGCCUUCGGGUUGUAAAGUACUUUCAGCGGGGAGGAAGGCGGUGAGGUUAAUAACCUUGCCGAUUGACGUUACCCGCAGAAGAAGCACCGGCUAACUCCGUGCCAGCAGCCGCAGUAA
rnacentral:rRNA from 1 species